UACAGAGGGUGCGAGCGUUAAUCGGAAUUACUGGGCGUAAAGCGCGCGUAGGCGGCUUUGCAAGUCGGGUGUGAAAUCCCCAGGCUUAACCUGGGAACUGCAUUCGAGACUGCAUUGCUAGAGUAUGGGAGAGGGAAGUGGAAUUUCCGGUGUAGCGGUGAAAUGCGUAGAUAUCUGGAGGAAUACCGGUGGCGAAGGCGGCAUCCUGGACCGACAUUGACGCUGAACGGCGAAAGCUAGGGGAGCAAACGGG
rnacentral:rRNA from 1 species